GACGAACGCUGGCGGCGUGCCUAAUACAUGCAAGUAGAACGCUGAAGCUUGGUGCUUGCACCGAGCGGAUGAGUUGCGAACGGGUGAGUAACGCGUAGGUAACCUGCCUGGUAGCGGGGGAUAACUAUUGGAAACGAUAGCUAAUACCGCAUAAGAGUAGAUGUUGCAUGACAUUUGCUUAAAAGGUGCAAUUGCAUCACUACCAGAUGGACCCGCGUUGUAUUAGCUAGUUGGUGAGGUAACGGCUCACCAAGGCAACGAUACAUAGCCGACCUGAGAGGGUGGUCGGCCACACUGGGACUGAGACACGGCCCAGACUCCUACGGGAGGCAGCAGUAGGGAAUCUUCGGCAAUGGACGGAAGUCUGACCGAGCAACGCCGCGGGAGUGAAGAAGGUUUUCGGAUCGUAAAGCUCUGUUGUAAGAGAAGAACGAGUGUGAGAGUGGAAAGUUCACACUGUGACGGUAUCUUACCAGAAAGGGACGGCUAACUACGUG
rnacentral:rRNA from 1 species